CAAAGGUGUACUUUCAACACUUCGAUUCCAGCAAUUCUUAACAUGGGAUAAUAUUGUCAUGCACACAAGAUGAGGCUACAAGGUUCAUUGGAUUUGGCUUAGAGGAAACAUGAAAAAAAAACUUAAAAGAAACCUAUGCGAGAUCAAGUUCUUCUACGGAGAACUGAUUUAAUCCCAUCUCUAUCCUCUCUGUUAAUGGAUUCAUUGGAUUUGGACUAACACUGCAAAAUGACAGAAUUGGAUUAGGUUACAAAGAAAAGCUUCAGGACAAAACUCAGCCUCUGCCAUGAAGAUCUAUGAAUUGGAAAUGUGAUAUAUAGCAAGCUAUCCAGAGAACUUUAAAUUCAAUGCUGCCCAUUCUCAGGAGGAAUAAUGACUUCUUCACUGCCAUGGAAUCUUUGUGAGGAAAAAGAAUAUAACUAGGAGAAGCUAAGGUGAUAUACACAAGAAGAGAGAGGCAUGGCAAUACUCACGGAAAUAAAACUCUAAAUG